ensembl:lncRNA novel transcript
GGGGUCCCUCUGGGCCGGAGCCGACGGCAGUGGUGGCAGCGGUACCGCUCCCCAGCUCACUGCGCCCCUUUUCCAGCCCGGACGUCGCCGCGAAAGCGAGGCAGCGGCGGCUGCCCAGAACAGGUGGCCCAGCCUGGUAACCGCUAGAAGCCCUUCACAAACUGCGGCCUGGCAGGCAACCAACCAAAAAACAAACAAAGAAUCCUGACCGAGCAGCGGGCAUCAAGUUCCCUUCGCCGGCAUCUGGGCCCUGGACGCCGGGAAAGGCCUCCGUGUUCCGCUUCCUGCCGCCUUCCACGGUAGGCUUGGCCCAGCCUCCAUCUUCGUCUCUCAGGACGGCUAGCAGCAGAAUUCAUUGUCGGAAGGAAAUAUAAACUGCUUUGGAAGAUCUGGUGUAGCUCCUUCGGAGACAUCUGUCUGGCGAUCAGCAUCACCAACGGUGAAGAAGUGGUAGUGAAGCCAGAAUCUCAGGGCCAGGCAUCCCCAGUUGCUGUACAAGAGCAGGCUUUACAAGAUGCUUCAAGGUGGGGUUGGCAUCCCCCACAUACGGUGGUGUGGUCAGGAAGAAGACUAUAAUGUACUAGUCAUGGAUUUUUCUGGGACCUAGCCUCGAAGACCAAUUUCUGUUCAAGAAGGUUCACAAUGAAAACUGUACUUAUAUUAGCUGACCAGAUGAUCAGUAGAAUUGAACAUGUGCAUACAAAGAAUUUUAUACACAGAGCCAUUAAACCAGGACCCUGAUCCAUCAAUAUGACUACACAUUUGAUUGGACAAAGUUAAAGCAGAAAGCAGCACAGCAGGCAGCCUCUUCUAGUGGGAGGGGCAGCAGGCCCAAACCCCAACAGGGUAUUUAGAGAAAUUCAAUCAGAGACGAUGGAACUAAAGCUGGCCCUUCUGUGCAUACCUGUUUCCUAAAGAAAUGUUUACUCCUGGAUUGGGUCAGCCCCUCUGCAUUUACCUAUAAGAAUCUACAUACAAGCUUGUCUAUCCAUCCUGCAUAGAGCACAAGUCACAGAAGAAAAGCUCCUCUCCAUAAAUUGCUUAACAUAGUAAUCAAUAUCUCUUCACAUUUUCAGAGUAAACUAUAUCACUUGAAUAAACAAAAUGCCAAAGGGUUCACAGUAACAGACUAAUUAGAGCAAUGACAAUGAUUCUAGAAGUCUUCCUGGAAAAGGCAACUAUUUAACUAUGUUGUAUUUAUUCACAUCAGCCCUUUAAACUUUCUCCAUGAUACAUCCAUUUUUGAGGGGAGGGAAAGGUGAGGUUAGGGGUCCCGAGAGACUUAGAGGGAUGAUGGGGUCAGAAGUAUAUUGAGAUGAUUUCACUGGGAAACGGGAGGAUGAGUUUCAGGACAAUAGCUGUGGUUCUGUUUCAAACAGGAUGCAUGGAGAAGACAGAACACCUUCUCAAAUGGGAAGAGAGAGACAGCAAACAUAGCAAAAGACAUAGAAACCCUAAAAGUAACAAAGUACCCGAAGUUAUGUUUACUUUGAAAACACUUACUUACUUAAGUACUAAAACGAGAGAACACUUCAUGUGGACACUGGGUGCAAAUCAUGUCCAUCGAUCUGGAAUUUAUACCCCAGCCUUCUUCCAAAAGUUGGGGGUGUUUGUUUUAACAAAAUUGGUCGUGUGAAUUAUUACAUGUUUUCUCAGUUAUUUCCCCAGGGAAACACGCCAAAGGCAAACCCAUCAUUUCAGCUGAUUUAGUGUUUGAUGCCAGAGAAUUUAUAAUUGAUAUGACAACCAUAAUGGAUAGUGAUCAUGGAGUUGGCAAGGCCUGGCUGACAGUGGUGCAGUCCAUUUUGGUGUUUGCCAGUUAAUCAACCAUCAGACUUGCUCUGAUGAAUUUUGAGGUGAUUUCUGAACUUUCCAUUUCUAACUAACUUUCUGAAUAUUAGAAAUUAGAACCACAUUAUAAAAUGGAAAAGACUACAUAAAUCUUGCGUACCCAAAAUAUGUCUUUUUCAAGUAGCCCUUAAUUAUUCGCUAAUGGAGGGAAUGGAGUUUCUUUUUCCUUGGCAUAGUUCUCAAAGGAUCACAGGGUAACCCAGAGUUCGGUCAGAUGUUUAUCUCAAGGAACAAAGAGAUUUAUGGGUUUUGGAUAUAUAAAAGUCUGCUUAAAAUAAAAAAUUAUUGGAAUUUCA